rnacentral:rRNA from 1 species
GACGAACGCUGGCGGCGUGCCUAAUACAUGCAAGUAGAACGCACAGUUUAUACCGUAGCUUGCUACACCAUAGACUGUGAGUUGCGAACGGGUGAGUAACGCGUAGGUAACCUGCCUGGUAGCGGGGGAUAACUAUUGGAAACGAUAGCUAAUACCGCAUAAUAUUGAUUAUUGCAUGAUAAUUGAUUGAAAGAUGCUAUUGCAUCACUACCAGAUGGACCUGCGUUGUAUUAGCUAGUAGGUGAGGUAACGGCUCACCUAGGCGACGAUACAUAGCCGACCUGAGAGGGGGAUCUGCCACACUGGGACGGAGACACGGCCCAGACUCCUACGGGAGGCAGCAGUAGGGAAUCUUCGGCAAUGGACGAAAGUCUGACCGAGGAACGCCGCGUGAGUGAAGAAGGUUGUCGGAUCGGAAAGCUCUGUUGUAAGAGAAGAACGGGUGUGAGAGUGGAAAGUUCACACUGUGACGGUAUCUGACCAGAAAGGGACGGCUAACUACGUG